AGAGUUUGAUCCUGGCUCAGGACGAGCGCUGGCGGCGUGCUUAACACAUGCAAGUCGAACGGUGAAGUCCCUUCGGGGGCGGAUCAGUGGCGAACGGGUGAGUAACACGUGGGCAAUCUGCCCCUCACUGUGGGAUAACUCCGGGAAACCGGGGCUAAUACCGCAUAUGAAGCCUGGCGGCAUCGCCGGGUUUGGAAAGUUUUUCGGUGAGGGAUGAGCCCGCGGCCUAUCAGCUUGUUGGUGAGGUAAUGGCUCACCAAGGCGACGACGGGUAGCCGGCCUGAGAGGGCGACCGGCCACACUGGGACUGAGACACGGCCCAGACUCCUACGGGAGGCAGCAGUGGGGAAUAUUGGGCAAUGGGCGAAAGCCUGACCCAGCGACGCCGCGUGCGGGAGGAAGGCCUUCGGGUUGUAAACCGC
rnacentral:rRNA from 1 species